rnacentral:lncRNA from 1 species
CAGAAUGUGCCAUCACUGUGACCCAUCACCGCCGGUUUUGGGUGAGCCGGCAGUGAUGGGUCUUCUGUACCAGCCCAAAAAUUCAAACUCAAAAAUCUCUCGAAUUCAAAAACUUCAAAACCUAUUUUCAAAGCAUAAUUUCAAAAUAUUGCAAAACUAUCCUUGAGCUUAAAUCUUGUUGCAUCAAAAAUCCUCAUCAAGCCUAAUUGUUCUUUAACUCAUCAAUCGUAUAGCCAAUCAGUUACCUUCCUUUCUUUUCUCUUAAGCCACCAACACCUAAUCUCUUUUUCCUCCCCUAAGCUGCACAAUCAUGCACUCCACCUUCUCGAACUCGAUGCACCACAUCCAUUUCGGUCACCUGCUCAAACUCGAUGCACCACACCCAUUUCGGUCCACCUAGUCAAGCUUGGUGCAUCACACAUGUUUCACUCCACCUGCUCGAGCUCGGUGCACCGCACCCAUUUCGGUCCAUCAACAUCCAUGCGAUCCACCGCACCAUCUCCUCCUAUAAAAGGGAGCAAGGGGCAUCUCUCCUCCACAACUCCAAGCUUGCCAAGCUACUCAUCUCCUUCGUUCCUCCAAAUUUCAUCCUCUAUUUUUGCAUAAGAGGAAGGCCAGCCUCAUCGAUCUCCGACGACAAGGGGAAGGCCAUCCUCAUCGAUCUUCGACGACACACCCACCUCUACCUUCCCUACACCCGUACCGAAUUAAGCCCAUAAAGCACCCAUAUCUCAACCAUCCAAACUCCGAUUCACUUGAUUCUUUUUCUUAAAUUGCUCUAAAAUUGUUUUUGGAAUUUAAUUAGCAGCCAACAUUCCAAACACCAUAUCUCAACCAUCCAAACUCCGAUUCACGUGAUUCUUUUUCUUAAAUUGCUCUAUAAUUAUAUUCUAUCUAUUCCAGCUAUUCUCCUC